GUUUACUGAAAAUAAACACAGUUGACAGUGAGGACGUUUCUUUUGCCGAGUUUACAAUACAGAAUGCGUAGACAUAAUUUACUUUCUAAAAAGGAGUCACAAAUGAGACUUGUUUAAGCAUCAGAAACAUUUAUUUUACAACAGCACAUCCGAUAAAUGACACCGGUCUUCUCUUUCAGACAGUAGAUGACCAUGCUAAAACAUACAUCCUAUCUUCUAUUUACUUCCACUGUAUGUACAGGAUAACUCAACCAUUCAUUCUAAAUGACCACACACCUAGUUACAUACCAUUUAAGCUAUAUAUUCAUUUAUUAAAAAGAUACAAAAUAAAAUAAUGCUUCAUUAUUAUCUUACCACUAUAUAUUUGCACUAAUAUUUCUUGUUGGUUUUUAAAAAAAGUUUCUAAACACAAUGUUGUUUCUUGAUCCGGUAGAACUUCGUUUUGUACACACAUUGCAUUCUCUCCGACAAGUUGAAUGUAUUUCAACACCUCAAAAGAGGAGAAGGAAACCACAGCAAGGAUUUUCAUUUGUCAACGUCUUCAUAUUAACAGAUAUUCUGAUAAUACAACCAAAUCAAAUCAAAAUGAGUGAGUAGUGGGCAGGCCAAUUAACUACAACCAAUUAAAAAUGUUUGACUUGAUAAUUGAACCUUCUUAGAAAAGAAAAGGAGGGAAUAUAAAGGAAGACAGAUUUUGCUCUUUCUUACACUGGAGCUCAACAAAAUGGAGGCUGGUCCCAGACCUGUUUGUGCUCUUGCCAACCCCAUUAAUAUCCUUUUCAAGCCAAGUGCCAAUGAGUGACAAGGAGUUGGUAUGAUAGCACAAACAGACUGGCACUCAGGUUAGGACAAAAUGACAAGUGGAUCAUUUUUUUUUUUAGAUUGACACUGAAAACUCAAGAGUAAAAACACAGCCUGCUAACAUGAGGUAAAACAAGAUCUAACAACAAUAUAUAUAUAUAUAUAUAAACAAUCUAAAAACACAAAUGAGAUUCAUCAACACAUUACAUCACAUAUACAACCACCAUGCUGCUCAAAGAUGAUUGGCUAGCGAGUCUGAGUGACUACUGAGGGUGUUGGAACACCUAGAACCAUCGUGAUGCCGCUGCUGCUUCUUCAUUGUAGUAAACUGGUCUUUUAGUAUGUAUCCCAAAUGGCACCCUAUUCCCUAUAUAGUGCACUACUUUUGACCAGGUCCCAUUGUGGUAGGGCUCUGGUUUAAAAAAAAGAAAAAGGAAAAAAAAUAAGUGUCCCCUACAUAAGGACUAUGAUGCCAUCUGGGAUUACAAGCCAUACUCUCAUAUUCAGUCUGACUAAAUACAGAAAUGUAGCCAACAGGCAUAACCACCACUUUGGAUAUAUAAAAUGUUAUUAUCGUAUCCGACAACAUAAAUAAGAAACAAUACAAUCUAUUGCAGAAAAAAAAAACACACAAAAAAAAAAAAUCUACUUUUUUUGUUUGUUGCAAAACUCAAAUAUACACAACUUAAUAAAAACUCAACCAAUACAUUUCUCAUUACUUCCUCAAAGACAAAUCUAAAACCAAGAGUUGAAUAGAUUGGUGGUAAUAGGUAUAUAGAGGGAGACGUUCUGAGCACUUUUACCCACUAACACUGAACUCUGACCUCCUAGCACAAGCAUUCAUACACAUGUACGCAGUAUUACGCACGCACAUGUAACAGUUUAGCUUCCGUCCCUCUCCUCGCCCCGACCUGGGCUCGAACCAGGGACCCUCUGCACACAUCAACAACUGACACCCCACGAAGCAUCGUUACCCAUCGCGUUACCCACCCAUUGCAGAGCAAGGGGAACAUCUACUUCAAGGUCUCAGAGAGAGAGUGACGUCACCGAUUUGAAACGCUAUUAGCGAGCACCACCGCUAACUAGCUAGCCAUUUCACAACGGUUACACUCACACAGAGCUGCUAAGAGACUAAUUUAAAUGAUGUUAGUAAAUCCUUCAGAGCUCAAAUUAAUGUCGAGUUUCAGUACGGACAAACAAGACUGGAUUGGACAGAGAGGAGGAGGGUAGUUAACACAGAGGGUAGUAGUAUUGGAGAGAACACAACAGAGAGCAAGAGGAGAACGACGAUGAAGAAGAGGAGAAAAUGGAGGAAGAGGGAAAGCAUCCACAUGAUGACACUGAAUAAAAUAGAGAUAUUUUUCUAUUAAAAACUAAUGGAAAUCAUUCUGGCUUAAAAGACACUGUCCAUAUUAUACGGCAGGGAUCCUCAACGAGAUUUCAGCUGCAGGUUCAGAUUUUAUUUUCUUGAGCAGAUGGUCAGGGUGCAAGAACAUAAUUACAAAUUAUUUGUACAGAUAUAAUAAUUGACUAUAAAACAUAAUUAUUUCAAACCUGGGUUACAUUUGUAUUAAGAUCACAUGUCAACCGCCAGUUGGUGGAACCCUGCUAUACCGUAUCCAUGGUAACAGUCUAGGUAGGUUUAGGUGUAAUCAGUGUCAGAACCCUGCUAUACCGUAUCCAUGGUAACAGUCUAGGUAGGUUUAGGUGUAAUCAGUGUCAGAACCCUGCUAUACCGUAUCCAUGGUAACAGUCUAGGUAGGUCUAGGUGCAAUCAGUGUCAGAACCCUGCUAUACUGUAUCCACGGUAACAGUCUAGGUAGGUCUAGGUGCAAUCAGUGUUUACCCUUCAUUAAAACACACAUCUUUCAUAGUGUGGUCCCCUGCUCCCUUUCUAUCUAGUCACAUGCUUCUCAUAUUUCACUACGAUCAAAACUCCCAGGAACAACGCAACAAAGGAAAACAAAAAUCUGUAAGCAGCGCAAGUGUUUAGUCCAUAAGCAGAGUACCAUGUGCCUUUAUCAGUACACGAUUAGGGAGGCAAAUAGUUCACACUCUCUACAGUACACAACGAUAAACUAAAUCAACCUUCUUUGUGGGUUUGUGUGUGUGUGUUUCCGUAUAAGACAACCUGUUGACAUGGUAGCUGUGGACCUACGGACCGUGACAAGUCGUAACACGGACAUCUUGUUGCUGCCCGAGGAGGGGACAGUGUCAAAACAUCAACAGCAGUCAAAUCAUGGUCCAAACAGAAUGGUAGAACAUGGCUCAGAAGUCAGGAAGAAUAUCAGGUCCACUUCUCUAAAUUUAAAAAGUGAGGUUGAUCAAGCCCCUGAUGGACAGGUGGUCCAGUGUUAAUGAAAUGUGACUGUUAGUUAUAGUCUCUACACAGUCUAAACUCAUGCAAUAUAUACUUAACAAAAAUAUAAAACGCAACAUGUAAAGUGUUGGUCCCAUGUUUCAUGAGCUGAAAUAAAAACAUCCCAGAAAUGUUCCAUACGCACAAAAAGCUUAUUUCUCUCAAAUUUUAUGCACAAAUUUGUUUACAUCCCUGUUAGUGAGCAUUUCUCCUUUGCCAAGAUAAUCCAUCCACCUGACAGGUGUGGCAUAUCAAGAAGCGGAUUAAACAGCAUGAUCAUUACACAGGUGCACCUUGUGCUGGAGACAAUAGAAGUCCACUCUAAAAAUGUGCAGUUUUGUCACACAACACAAUGCCACAGAUGUCUCAAGUUGAAGGAGCAUGCAAUUGGCAUGCUGCCUGAAUGUUCACCAGAGCUGUUGCCAGAUAAUCGAAUGUUAAUUUCUCUACCAUAAGCCGCCUACGUUGUUUUAGAGAAUUUGGCAGUACGUCGAACCGGCCUCACAACAGCAGACCACAUGUAUGGCGUCGCGUGGUUUGCUGAUGUCAACGUUGUGAACAGAGUGCCCCAUGGUGGUGGUGGGGUUAUAGUAUGGGUAUAAGCUACGGACAACGAACACAAUUGCAUUUUAAUCGAUGCCAAUUUGAAUGUAGAGAAAUGCUGUGACAAGCUCCUGAGGUAUCUGUGACCAACAGAUGCAUAUCUGUAUUCCCAGUCAUGUGAAAUUCAUAGAUUAGGGCCUAAUUAAUUUAUUUCAAUUAACCGAUUUCCUCAUAUGAACUGUAAUUCAGAAAAAUCUUUGAUAAUUGUUACAUGUUGCGUUUAUAUUUUUGUUCAGUAUAUAUAUAUAUAUAUAUAUAUA
rnacentral:lncRNA from 1 species